rnacentral:sRNA from 1 species
UAAUUUUGAAAAGAAAAUCUUAAACAAAGAAAGUAACUUGACACCCAACCAUCUUGAAGAGGGUAUUUGAAAUGCUCUAAUUUUAUCCCAGCUUUGUUCAGCCAUGACAAAAGUGACCUGUCAGAUGCUUAGUAUUGUAAUAACCUCAUUUUCCUUCCCAAAUUUAGAGUAUCUUUAAUACUAUUUUUUUUUAGACAGAGUCUCGAUCUGUCACCCAGGCUAUAGUGCAAUGGCACAAUCUUGGCUUACUGCAACCUCCAUCUCCCGGGUUCAAGCGAUUCUACCUCAGCCUCCCUAGUAGCUGGGAUUACAGGCGUUAGCCAGCACACCCAGCUAAUUUUUGUAUUUUUAGUAGAGACAGGUUUUCACCAUGGUCUCGAACUCCUGACCUCAGGCGAUCUGCCUGCCUUGGCCUCCCAAAAUGCUGGGAUUACAGGUGUGAGCCAUGGCACCCGGCCUAAUACUACUAUUAACUACCAUUUUCACUUUUUAUUAGUUCAACAAAAGGUAUACACAUUUAUUUAACAUGUAUACAUGGGGAGAACCAGUGAUUACCCCGAUGUUCAUUAUUUUGAUCACCACGAUAGAGCUGACUACUCUGCUAUGUAGUACAUUUUGGGACGGCACUUAUGUAUGUUUUUGUUUAACGUGGACAAAGACUUGUGGAUAGGUGCAAAAAAUAAAUCCUCUUUUGCAACCCAGAACUCAUUGUUCAGUAUGAGUUUUGAUACAUAUAAGAAGGGAUAUUAUGAUACCUGAGACAGUUGAUCGAUGGGAGUACUGAUAGCCAUAAAGGCUGGUUCCAGGCCAGGUGCAAUGGGUCAAGCCUGCAAUCUCCACACCGAGGUGGGAGUAUUGCUUGAAACGAGGAGUUCAAGACCAGCCUGGGCAAGAAAGUAAGAAACACCUCAUCUCCACAAAAAUUUAAAAAUUAGCUGGGUACUGGGGCAUGUGCCUGUAGUUGGAGUUACUCAGAAAGGGGAGGCUGAGGCAAAAGGAUUGAGCCCAAGAGUGGGAGGCUGCACUGAGCUUUGAUGGCACCACUGUACUCCAGCCUGAGUAACAGACAGACCCUGUCUCUUAAGAUAAAAAGGUUGAUUCUAGGCCUGUAGAAUAGAUAAACAGCAUGGGAUAUGAGGGAAAUCCUCAGCAGUAUUAAUUUUGCAUUCCAAUUUCAUGUUGACGAUAUAUACAAUGGCUUUUUGUUUUAAAGGCUUUUAUCUUGAGAACAUGGUGUCUGGAGUUAAAGGUAUGUCUCAAUUCGAGUUUUCACAUCAUAUUUGUUUAUGUGUAGGAAACAGUAUGUUGUCAGAGCAAGCAAGUUUCAUUUCAUUCAGAGACAUUUCUACCAUGCUUUUAAUUCCCAUUUAUAAUGAUUUCUGAAAAGAAGGAUCUUAGAUUCACACAGUUUAUAGUGAUGUGUCAGAUUCAUUUUAGUUGCAAGCAUUAGAGGGUCCCAAAUUUGUUAGUUUGUAGCAAUAAUCAGAACUUUGGAUUUCCUACUUGAAGCCUACGGCAUUAUUUUGAAUUAAUGCACAAUCUAAAAUGAGGUAGAGGAUUUUAUGGUUUAAUGCAAAAUAUAGUAUAAUAAAAGAAAUGAUUAUACAGGUCAUAAGAAUUCAUAAAUUUGAAUGAUGUAGAGUUUGAUUAAAAGUUAUAUAAUGCCAAAGUCAUAACUUACAGGCACAUUAUAUUCCUGUAUUUUAUAAUGGAUGACAACUAAUUUUGAGCCAAGAAUUAAAAUUUGCUGAAAUCUUUGAACUAGGAAAACAUCCUCUGUUGCAGUAUUGAAGUUCAUAACAACAGUUACAUUUUAAACUUAAAUCUUAAGUUUAAAUCCUUUUCCUUUGGUUCAUGUAAAGGAGCUACUUCAUGGUACUUUCUAUUUAUCAUUCCUCUGGCUCCUAAGCACAAUGUGAUUGUGAAAUUAUUGUUUUUGUGAUUAACGUGAUAGGAAGUUUUUGCAGUUUGCAAUAUUGUAAGAGCAUAUUGCAGUUUCUGCUCAUAAUUUCUUUCCUAUGGAGUAUUAGACUUUGUUAUUUAUGUGUAUGAAUACUAGCUGGACACAGUGGUGCUUGUGGUCCCCAGCUACUCUGGAGGCUAAGGCAGGAUAAACACUUAAGCCCAGCGGUUCGAGGCUACAGUGAGAUGUGAUCCUGCCGCAUCCCACUGUAGCCUCGAACCCCUGGGCUCAAGCGAUUCAGCAAGAAUCGCACAAUUUUUAAAAGACACGGCAGAUCCUGUGUCUUUAAAAAAAAAAUCAAAACCUUGUAAAUAGUGGUUGAGGUCUAUCCCGAUGGGGCUUUUCCUGUAGCCUGCACAUCGUUGGAAACGCCUCAUAGAGUAACUCUGUGGUUUUACUUUACUCACAGGACUAUUGUUAGAUCUGUGGGAAGGAACUACAAGACAGUUGCUAAAAGUUUGAAAAAGACGGUUACUAAACGUUAUGAAAAACCAGAUAAUCUACUUUUUUACCUUAGGUAUUGACAUACUCCACACAUCUGUACUAUUCUUGAGUGAUCGCUUAGGUAAGUUUUAAUUGGUGACAGUAUAAUCUUUUGGGAAAUAAUGAUUACAGUUCAGAUGAUGAAUUUAACUGUUCAACUGCUGAAUGAUGCGGGCAUGAACUAAAACUUAAUUCUGACAGAGCUGGAUGUGGCUGUAUAAUAAACUGGAUCUUAAAUUUAUACUUGGGUUUUAGUUUGAAUAACUGGAAAUGUAUCCGUUCUAAAUCUUUAAUUGGUACUUUCUAUAGGAAUGAAUGUGAUUUGAACUCAUUCAUGUUGAGAGGUAAGUAAAAUAUUUAACUUAUAAUAAUCAAGGACUCAAAAGAUGAAAAAUAGAAAUUAAGUACACCAUCCCAAUAUUUCAGGUAUAACACAAAAUUAAUAAGAUACUGGUAAAAAAUUACAAUAUAUAUAUUUGUAUAGAGAAGGAAAAUGAAGAGACUGCAUGUCUAUACCUACCAAACGAAACUACCUGUGUUCUUUGCAUCGUUAUUCAACUGGCAGUUACACAUACUUCAUCCUAAAGUCACGUAAACCUGUGUGGAUAUGUUGAAUCAAUAGGGAUAUGAAUUACAUAAAAAGAAUUUUGUGUAACUGGCAGUUUGAGCAACAAUGAGCUUGACGUUUGUAGUCGCUUGAUCUGUUAAGUUACAUGUAUAUGUAGGUUUUAUAGAGAGACUGGGCAAAGAUUAGGCAAAGACUAGAGUUGUAGCUUAAAAUGCAGUUAAUGUAUAGCUUCCUUAUUACAGUGACAAUUAGGAAAAAAGGUCAAAUUAUUGUACUUGUUAAAGGAACUUGAAUUUGAGAGGUUUGUGAAAGCAUUUCUCAGCAAUAUUGCAAAUUUGGCAAUACGAGUUGUACAGUUCAGUCAUAAUUGCACUGCAUGGUAUCUGCACUCAGCAGUUUACACCUGCUAGGGUGUUCAAAGGUCAGUGCUAUAGAAAUUCAGUAUCUGGCAUCGUUGGUUUUCUUGGCUUUGUGCUUGUUAAACCUGGUAUUUCUAUUGAUACAGUAUUUGUAUAGGUUUCCCAGAGUGUUCAGUUUGGUAUACUCUAAAAUAGUAAGCAAUGCUUUUCUUUUUCCAGGGUGUCAAAUUGAGAACCAGGCAGAUCCCCACCACCUACAGUAAAAAGGACCCUAAAGUAAAUUGGUUGAAGAAAUUAGAUCCCAAAGAUUCUUGGUGAAUUUUGAAGUCUUCAUCAGUAUACCCAUAUUAAAACGAGACCACAGAAGCCAAAGUAAUUAUGGCAAGUAAUGGUUUUUAUCUUAACCAUAAGUUAUUCGCUCAAGGGUGUAAAUGGUCAUUACCAAGGCUUUUAGAAUGCAGUUUCUCAUUUGCUGUGGACAUGACCAUAAAAAAAUUUCCCAGUAGGUUUUCUGUCUGCUACUUUGCUAGCAAUCAGCUUAUUGGGAACAGCUGAUUAACCGUAAUAGAAAUGCAAUACAAAUGCAUAAUGUGAACCACGUUAUUUUUCUUUAAAAUCAAUGAGAUUUGAAAAUUCUUCUAGAUCUCUUGAAUCAUGCAAAUGUGCUUUGCCUUUGUAUUAUAACCCUUGUGGAUUGCUAAUAACCAAGCAGUUUGUAGUAGAGUUAACUCAGGCUCGUUCUAGGACUCAGUCAGGUUCACUCACUGUACAGUCAUCUCUGGAAAUGUAAAAUUUACUUUUAUAUUGUUAUGUAGGGCUGACAGGACAACUGGAUCAGUUUCAUUAAAAAGGGCAAACUUGAAGAUAUAUCUUUUGACUCCAGCUCUUUAGAGGAUCUAAAGUGACCCUGAUGGACAGUGGAAGAAAUCACAACAUGGAAUUCCUUGAAUAAAAAUUUAUUGACUUUAAAUAAUUUUGUCUAAUGCUACAUAUGCACAAUUAAAAAAAAACCUUUACACU